AUACGGAGGGGGCUAGCGUUGUUCGGAAUCACAGGGCGUAAAGCGCGCGUAGGCGGAUCAGUCAGUCAGGGGUGAAAUCCCGGGGCUUAACCCCGGAACUGCCUUUGAUACUGCUGGUCUUGAGUUCGAGAGAGGUGAGUGGAAUUCCUAGUGUAGAGGUGAAAUUCGUAGAUAUUAGGAAGAACACCAGUGGCGAAGGCGGCUCACUGGCUCGAUACUGACGCUGAGGUGCGAAAGCGUGGGGAGCAAACAGGAUUAGAAACCCCGGUAGUCC
rnacentral:rRNA from 1 species